rnacentral:rRNA from 1 species
UACGUAGGUCCCGAGCGUUAUCCGGAAUUAUUGGGCGUAAAGAGCAUGUAGGCGGUUUAUUAAGUCUGGUGUGAAAGCUAGUGGCUCAACCACUAAAUUGCAUUGGAUACUGGUAAACUAGAAUACUGGAGGGGCAAGUGGAAUUCCAUGUGUAGCGGUGGAAUGCGUAGAUAUAUGGAGGAACACCAAUGGCGAAGGCAGCUUGCUGGACAGUAAUUGACGCUGAGAUGCGAAAGCGUGGGUAGCAAACAGG